CAGUGUUGUGAGAUUAAAGCGA
rnacentral:snRNA from 1 species